rnacentral:ribozyme from 11 species
ACAUGAAGAAAAAAAGAGAGAAAGAAAGAGACAAGAUAAGACGAGACGAGAGGACACGCACCUGCGGUCACCCUCGGUCUCUCUCUCUGUCUCUCCAUCUCUCUCCCUCUUUCUGUUUUCUUUU